GAUGAACGCUGGCGGCGUGCCUAAUACAUGCAAGUCGAGCGAACGGACGAGAAGCUUGCUUCUCUGAUGUUAGCGGCGGACGGGUGAGUAACACGUGGAUAACCUACCUAUAAGACUGGGAUAACUUCGGGAAACCGGAGCUAAUACCGGAUGAUAUUUUGAACCGCAUGGUUCAAAAGUGAAAGACGGUCUUGCUGUCACUUAUAGAUGGAUCCGCGCUGCAUUAGCUAGUUGGUAAGGUAACGGCUUACCAAGGCAACGAUGCAUAGCCGACCUGAGAGGGUGAUCAGCCACACUGGAACUGAGACACGGUCCAGACUCCUACGGGAGGCAGCAGUAGGGAAUCUUCCGCAAUGGGCGAAAGCCUGACGGAGCAACGCCGCGUGAGUGAUGAAGGUCUUCGGAUCGUAAAACUCUGUUAUUAGGGAAGAACAUAUGUGUAAGUAACUGUGCACAUCUUGACGGUACCUAAUCAGAAAGCAACGGCUAACUACGUG
rnacentral:rRNA from 1 species